rnacentral:rRNA from 1 species
GACCCUGUUGAGCUUGACUCUAGUUUGGCUUUGUGAAGAGACAUGAGAGGUGUAGCAUAAGUGGGAGGCCCGCUCUGUGUGGUGUCGCCAGUGAAAUACCACUACUCUCAUCGUUUCUUUACUUACUCGGUGAGGCGGGGAGCGAGUCUAACCCCCGUGUUGGGGCGGCUCUGGUGAGUGGUGUUAAGCGCCGCAAACCUGGCUUGUCUGGGUGGGCGCGACCCGUUCCGAGGACAGAGCCAGGCAGGGAGUUUGACUGGGGCGGUACAUCUGUCAAAUGGUAACGCAGGUGUCCUAAGGCUAGCUCAGCGAGGACAGAAACCUCGCGUAGAGCAAAAGGGCAAAUGCUGGCUUGAUCUUGAUUUUCAGUACGAAUACGGACCGCGAAAGCGUGGCCUAUCGAUCCUUUCGAUUUUAAGAGUUUUAAACGAGAGGUGUCAGAAAAGUUACCACA